rnacentral:lncRNA from 1 species
UUUGCAUGGCCAUUUCAGGACAGCCCACACCUGAAGGGCCACGAGCAGCUGCUUUUCUUCCCUGACUUGGAAACUCCAGAGGCAGAGGUGCUGGGCUGCCUUUCUGAGGUCGACAGUCUAACAACCCGCUGCUUGCCCUUGAUUCUCCUUUCUGUGCCUUCUCCAAGAGCCCUGCCGUGUCUUUCCAUGGACUUGGCGGCUGAGAGCUCAGAUGACCCCAGGCCUGUAUCAGUUCCAAUGGCAACUUUCCCAGUGUGGUGGUAAAGGUUCCUCUCCACCUCAAGGGUUCCCUGUAGCACAGGCUGGUUCUGAAGUGCCUAAGUAGCUGGGACAGACCUAUGUGGAGAGCUCUUGGGGCCACUCAUAGAAAUUUGGCAAGUAUUUGUCACUGGGUUCAAGGAAGUAGGCUCAGAUAAGAAUUCACAUUUGGGCUGAUGCAAAGCUCAAGGUGAUGGUGGUUAAAGGAGGCAGAACGUGGCUGCCCUGGAGGAAGGUCCACUGCGGGAAGGAGCCACAGACACCUCGGAGGCCUCAAGAGCUGUGCUAGUGUAAACUCGACACUCGGCGGGCGCCACGUCCCCAGCCCCGCCCACGCGAGCUCGCAGGGAACCCCGGUGACGUCACCACCCGCAGCGCCCUCCUUCCCGCGCUCUCCAGAAAGGACGCGAAGGUGGUGACGUGUCCGGAGCGCCAGCGCGGCUGCGCACAAAGCGCGUGACCAACCUGCGGCGCCGCCUGGCGGAAGAACAGUGGCGGUGUGGCUGGAAGCGACGUGCGGCGGCAGCGUGGUGACGUCACCUCGCGGGGCCACGUGACCGCGUGCUGUUCCGGCUUCUCCCCUCUACCGGUGUGGGCGGAAACGUGGCUUCUUUACUUGCUCUACUUGGUCUCCUGAAACUGCCUGGUUGCUUGGUCGCGCUGCGGGUCAUGGGAAGUUUGAGGAUCAUACUCAUUCUCUGCCCUUGUCAUUAACCGAAAUUGUGUCUCAGGAUGGGCCAGAAAGCACCAUCUUCAGCCACAUCAGCAGAUGCAUGUGAUGCUCUGUGUCAUGCAGACGUGGAGUUUACGAACUAGUCCAGAGUAUCCCGAGUCAUUCAGGAGCGCAGUCCAGGCCGCAGCCAUAGCUGCUGGACCCACACCAAGCCGUAGAAGGGAAGGCAGGAAGGAAGUCACAAACCCUUUUGGGAACCAACCUUGUUAUUUGAAAGGCAGUUUUUCACAUAGCACUUCGUACAGUGUCAGGGUGCUUCCUAGAAAUGCAGGUCUUAGACCUUGCCUUAAAGCUUACAAUUCAGAUAGACACUUUUGUUGACACGGGGUCUCACCUUGGCUGACCUGGUUCUAUGUAGACAAGGUUGCCCUUGAAGGUGUGCACCAUAGUGACCAGCUAGAAUAUACAUUUCAACAAGAUCCCCAGAGUCCUAUAAGUACUGGUUUGACAGAUUACUGUGCAUCAAGCCCUACCGUGAAAAUGGUAAUAUCAAAGUCAAUGGCCUGACCCAAGUUAAGCCCCAACUGAAUGGACAGUUGGAUAGAACUGUCCCAAGGGCUUGUAUGGCCUGGCCACACCCCAUUUCCACAAGGUGCUUGUCCAGCCUUUACUGUAAACACAAGGCAUCCUCCCCCCCCCUCCCCCCCGUCCAAGCAGGUUGGAGCUGGGUGUUAUCAGUUAUAAGACAUUCCUAUCAAGGGGCUGGAGAGAUAGAUGGUUCAGCAGUUAGGAGUAUUGGCUGCUCUUCCAGGGGACCUAGGUUCCCAGCACCUACAUGAUGGCUCACAAUCAUCCCUAACUAACUUCAGUUGCAGGUGCUCCAACAACCUUUCCUGAUUUCCCAAGGCACCAGGCACCCAUGUGUUCAUAUAUGCAUGUUGGCAAAGCAUGAGAGGAAAAAAAAAACCAAAACCCUGCAUGUCAAACCAAUGUAUUUCAAGUUGAAAGAAUAUAUACAUAGAAGUAAACUAAACAUAAUUUUAGUACUGUGUAGCCCCAGUGAGACUUCAGGAAGAGUAAUUCCUAGAACCCAGGGAAAAAUGAAGACUCAGUGGGAAAACUGACUGGCAUGAUAGUGUAAAGGGAAGUCAUGGCAGGUGUGUAGAAAAUGCUUCCUCCUCUCCUAGAAGGCAAAUCUUCAUUUCCUCCACCAUCUUAGUUCUAGGAUGAGUGAACCUAGAACUUUUGAAUUUUAUCAGCUGCUUUU